rnacentral:rRNA from 1 species
UGGGGAAUAUUGCGCAAUGGGGGAAACCCUGACGCAGCGACGCCGCGUGCGGGAUGAAGGCCUUCGGGUUGUAAACCGCUUUUGAUUGGGAGCAAGCCUUUUGGGUGAGUGUACCUUUCGAAUAAGCGCCGGCUAACUACGUGCCAGCAGCCGCGGUAAUACGUAGGUCCCGAGCGUUGUCCGGAUUUAUUGGGCGUAAAGCGAGCGCAGGCGGUUAGAAAAGUCUGAAGUGAAAGGCAGUGGCUCAACCAUUGUAGGCUUUGGAAACUGUUUAACUUGAGUGCAGAAGGGGAGAGUGGAAUUCCAUGUGUAGCGGUGAAAUGCGUAGAUAUAUGGAGGAACACCGGUGGCGAAAGCGGCUCUCUGGUCUGUAACUGACGCUGAGGCUCGAAAGCGUGGGGAGCGAACAGG